rnacentral:rRNA from 1 species
UACGUAGGGUGCAGGCGUUAAUCGGAAUUACUGGGCGUAAAGCGUGCGCAGGCGGUUUGCUAAGACAGGUGUGAAAUCCCCGGGCUUAACCUGGGAACUGCGCUUGUAACUGGCAAGCUAGAGUGUGGCAGAGGGGGGUGGGAAUUCCACGUGUAGCAGUGAAAUGCGUAGAAGAUGUGGAGGAACACCGAUGGCGAAGGCAGCCCCCUGGGCUAACACUGACGCUCAUGCACGAAGCGUGG